rnacentral:tRNA from 1 species
UGGGGAGUGGUGUAAGUGGUAACACAUAGGACUUUGGAUCCUAGUAUCCAGGUUCGAGUCCUGGCUCCCCAGCCA